rnacentral:rRNA from 1 species
GAUGAACGCUAGCGGCGUGCCUAAUACAUGCAAGUCGAGCGAACGGACGAGAAGCUUGCUUCUCUGAUGUUAGCGGCGGACGGGUGAGUAACACGUGGAUAACCUACCUAUAAGACUGGGAUAACUUCGGGAAACCGGAGCUAAUACCGGAUAAUAUUUUGAACCGCAUGGUUCAAAAGUGAAAGACGGUCUUGCUGUCACUUAUAGAUGGAUCCGCGCUGCAUUAGCUAGUUGGUAAGGUAACGGCUUACCAAGGCAACGAUGCAUAGCCGACCUGAGAGGGUGAUCGGCCACACUGGAACUGAGACACGGUCCAGACUCCUAGGGGAGGCAGCAGUAGGGAAUCUUCCGCAAUGGGCGAAAGCCUGACGGAGCAACGCCGCGUGAGUGAUGAAGGUCUUCGGAUCGUAAAACUCUGUUAUUAGGGAAGAACAUAUGUGUAAGUAACUGUGCACAUCUUGACGGUACCUAAUCAGAAAGCCACGGCUAACUACGUG